rnacentral:rRNA from 1 species
AUUGAACGCUGGCGGCAUGCUUUACACAUGCAAGUCGAACGGCAGCGCGGGCUUCGGCCUGGCGGCGAGUGGCGAACGGGUGAGUAAUACAUCGGAACGUGCCCAGUAGUGGGGGAUAGCUCGGCGAAAGCCGGAUUAAUACCGCAUACGACCUGAGGGUGAAAGCGGGGGAUCUUCGGACCUCGCGCUAUUGGAGCGGCCGAUGGCAGAUUAGCUAGUUGGUGGGGUAAAGGCCUACCAAGGCGACGAUCUGUAGCUGGUCUGAGAGGACGACCAGCCACACUGGGACUGAGACACGGCCCAGACUCCUACGGGAGGCAGCAGUGGGGAAUUUUGGACAAUGGCGAAAGCCUGAUCCAGCAAUGCCGCGUGUGUGAUGAAGGCCUUCGGGUUGUAAAGCACUUUUGGCGGGAACGAAAAGGACUGUGCCAAUACCACGGUUCGAUGACGGUACCCGCAGAAUAAGCACCGGCUAACUACGUG